rnacentral:rRNA from 2 species
UACGGAGAGUGCAAGCAUUAAUCGGAAUUAUUGGGCGUAAAGGGCGCGUAGGCGGAAUUAUAAGUCAGAUGUGAAAUUCUGAAGCUCAACUUCAGAGCUGCAUUUGAAACUGUAAAUCUAGAGGGUUGACGGAGAAAACGGAAUUCCACGUGUAGCGGUGAAAUGCGUAGAUAUGUGGAAGAACACCUGUGGCGAAAGCGGUUUUCUAGUUAAUACCUGACGCUGAGGCGCGAGAGCAAGGGGAGCAAACAGG